rnacentral:rRNA from 1 species
UACGUAGGGGGCAAGCGUUGUCCGGAUUUAUUGGGCGUAAAGAGCGUGUAGGCGGUCAGGUAGGUCCGUUGUGAAAACUCGAGGCUCAACCUCGAGACGUCGGUGGAAACCGUAUGGCUAGAGUCCGGAAGAGGAGAGUGGAAUUCCUGGUGUAGCGGUGAAAUGCGCAGAUAUCAGGAAGAACACCAAUGGCGAAGGCAGCUCGCUGGGACGGUACUGACGCUGAGACGCGAAAGCGUGGGGAGCAAACAGG